rnacentral:lncRNA from 1 species
AGAUAAGGUCAUGGGGAGGAGGACUGCACACACCCCCUGCACCAGUGUUUCUUUACACCUCCCCCACCCCCAAGUGACUCUCAUUCCAGGGCUUAACCUCUAAGGAGCGCAAGACCCAAGCCGAUGACAGGGUGAAGUUGACUGAGCACCUCAUCCCCCUGCUGCCCCAGCUCCUGGCCAAGUUCUCAGCUGAUGCAGAGAAGGUCACUCCCCUGCUCCAGCUUCUCAGCUGCUUUGACCUCCACAUCUACUGCACUGGGCGCUUGGAGAAGCACCUGGAGCUGUUCCUGCAGCAACUCCAGGAGGUGGUGGUGAAGCAUGCAGAGCCAGCGGUGCUUGAGGCUGGGGCGCAUGCCCUCUACCUGCUCUGUAAUCCCGAAUUCACUUUCUUCAGCCGGGCGGACUUUGCCCGCAGCCAGCUAGUAGAUUUGCUGACUGACCGCUUCCAGCAGGAGCUUGAAGAGCUGUUACAGUCGUCCUUCCUAGAUGAGGAUGAGGUAUAUAAUCUGGCAGCCACUCUGAAACGCCUCUCUGCCUUCUACAACACUCAUGACCUGACUCGCUGGGAGCUCUAUGAGCCAUGUUGCCAACUCCUGCAGAAGGCUGUGGACACAGGAGAGGUUCCUCACCAGGUUAUCCUGCCAGCCUUGACUCUUGUCUAUUUUUCCAUUCUCUGGACACUAACCCACAUUUCUAAAUCAGAUGCUUCCCAGAAGCAGCUGUCGAGUUUGAGGGACAGAAUGGUGGCCUUCUGUGAACUCUGCCAGAGUUGCCUCUCAG